AACGCUGGCGGCGUGCCUAAUACAUGCAAGUCGAACGAACUGUGGAAAGCUUGCUUUCAGAGUUAGUGGCGAACGGGUGAGUAACACGUAAGUAACCUAGCUAUUAGACGAGGAUAACUACUGGAAACGGUAGCUAAGACUGGAUAUGAUAGAAAUAUUUAAAGGAUGCUAAGGCAUCGCUAAUAGAGGGGCUUGCGGCGCAUUAGCUAGUUGGUAGGGUAAAAGCCAACCAAGGCGAUGAUGCGUAGCCGACCUGAGAGGGUGACCGGCCACACUGGGACUGAGACACGGCCCAGACUCCUACGGGAGGCAGCAGUAGGGAAUCUUCGGCAAUGGACGGGAGUCUGACCGAGCAACGCCGCCGUGAGUGAAGAAAGUUUUCGGAUUGUAAAGCUCUGUUAUUAGGGAAGAAAGGCUCUAGGAGGAAAUGCUUAGGGAUUGACGGUACCUAAUGAGGAAGCCACGGCUAACUACGUGCCAGCCGCCGC
rnacentral:rRNA from 1 species